rnacentral:rRNA from 1 species
GACGAACGCUGGCGGCGUGCCUAAUACAUGCAAGUAGAACGCUGAAGGAGGAGCUUGCUCUUCUGGAUGAGUUGCGAACGGGUGAGUAGCGCGUAGGUAACCUGCCUGGUAGCGGGGGAUAACUAUUGGAAACGAUAGCUAAUACCGCAUAAGAGUAGAUGUUGCAUGACAUUUGCUUAAAAGGUGCAAUUGCAUCACUACCAGAUGGACCUGCGUUGUAUUAGCUAGUUGGUGGGGUAACGGCUCACCAAGGCGACGAUACAUAGCCGACCUGAGAGGGUGAUCGGCCACACUGGGACUGAGACACGGCCCAGACUCCUACGGGAGGCAGCAGUAGGGAAUCUUCGGCAAUGGACGGAAGUCUGACCGAGCAACGCCGCGUGAGUGAAGAAGGUUUUCGGAUCGUAAAGCUCUGUUGUAAGAGAAGAACGAGUGUGAGAGUGGAAAGUUCACACUGUGACGGUAUCUUACCAGAAAGGGACGGCUAACUACGUG